UCCGACUUGACGUCGGCAGUCUCGUUAGAGUGCCCAACUUAAUGCUGGCAACUAACGACAGAGGUUGCGCUCGUUGCGGGACUUAACCCAACAUCUCACGACACGAGCUGACGACAGCCAUGCAGCACCUUCUCACUCGCUUCCCGAAGGACACCCCGACAUCUCUGCCAGGUUCGAGCGGAUUUAACCCAGGUAAGGUUCUGCGCGUUGCGUCGAAUUGAACCACAUGCUCCACCGCUUGUGCGGGUCCCCGCCAAUUCCUUUGAGUUUCAGCCUUGCGGCCGUACUCCCCAGGCGGAGUGCUUAAUGCGUUAGCUGCAGCACUAAAGGGCGGAAACCCUCUAACACUUAGCACUCAUCGUUUACAGCGUGGACUAC
rnacentral:misc_RNA from 1 species